rfam:Felis catus isolate Cinnamon breed Abyssinian chromosome B4, whole genome shotgun sequence.
GCCUGGGUGGCUCAGUCGGUUAAGCGUCUGACUUCAGCUCAGGUCUCGAUCCCACGGUCUGUGAGUUCGAGCCCCGCAUCGGGCU